AGCGAACGCUGGCGGCAGGCUUAACGCAUGCAAGUCGAACGGGCAUAGCAAUAUGUCAGUGGCAGACGGGUGAGUAACGCGUGGGAACGUACCUUUUGGUUCGGAACAACACAGGGAAACUUGUGCUAAUACCGGAUAAGCCCUUACGGGGAAAGAUUUAUCGCCGAAAGAUCGGCCCGCGUCUGAUUAGCUAGUUGGUAGGGUAAUGGCCUACCAAGGCGACGAUCAGUAGCUGCGCUGAGAGGAUGAUCAGCCACAUUGGGACUGAGACACGGCCCAAACUCCUACGGGAGGCAGCAGUGGGGAAUAUUGGACAAUGGGCGAAAGGCUGAUCCAGCCAUGCCGCGUGAGUGAUGAAGGCCCUAGGGUUGUAAAGCUCUUUUGUGCGGGAAGAUAAUGACGGUACCGCAAGAAUAAGCCCCGGCUAACUUCGUG
rnacentral:rRNA from 1 species